rfam:Brachypodium distachyon strain Bd21 chromosome 3, whole genome shotgun sequence.
UUGGUACUCUCUACGUCCAACAAAUGAUGUCUUAAUUUUGACUAAAUUUGAAUGCAUCUAUACACUAAGUUAUAUGUCUAGAUACAUCCAAAUUUUGACAAACUUGAGACAUCUUUUGUUGGACGGAGGGGGUACUAG